GGGGCUAUAGCUCAGUGGUCGAGCACUUGCCUGGUAUGCAUGAGGCACUGGGUUCAUUCCUCAGCACCA
rnacentral:tRNA from 1 species